GUGGGGAAUAUUGCACAAUGGGCGCAAGCCUGAUGCAGCGACGCCGCGUGAGGGAUGACGGCCUUCGGGUUGUAAACCUCUUUCACCAGGGACGAAGCGCAAGUGACGGUACCUGGAGAAGAAGCACCGGCCAACUACGUGCCAGCAGCCGCGGUAAUACGUAGGGUGCGAGCGUUGUCCGGAAUUACUGGGCGUAAAGAGCUCGUAGGUGGUUUGUCGCGUUGUUCGUGAAAUCUCACGGCUUAACUGUGAGCGUGCGGGCGAUACGGGCAGACUGGAGUACUGCAGGGGAGACUGGAAUUCCUGGUGUAGCGGUGGAAUGCGCAGAUAUCAGGAGGAACACCGGUGGCGAAGGCGGGUCUCUGGGCAGUAACUGACGCUGAGGAGCGAAAGCGUGGGGAGCGAACAGGAUUAGAAACCCGAGUAGUCC
rnacentral:rRNA from 1 species